rnacentral:rRNA from 1 species
GACGAACGCUGGCGGCGUGCCUAAUACAUGCAAGUCGAGCGGACUGAUUAAGAGCUUGCUCUUAUGACGUUAGCGGCGGACGGGUGAGUAACACGUGGGCAACCUGCCCUGUAGAUCGGGAUAACACCGAGAAAUCGGUGCUAAUACCGGGUAAUAUCUUGGAUCACAUGAUCUUAGGUUAAAAGAUGGCUCCGGCUAUCCCUACAGGAUGAGCCCGCGGCGCAUUAGCUAGUUGGUAAGGUAAUGGCUUACCAAGGGGACGAUGCGUAGCCGCCCUGAGAGGGGGAUCGGCCACACGGGGACUGAGACACGGCCCAGACGCCUACGGGAGGCAGCAGUAGGGAAUCUUCCGCAAUGGACGAAAGUCUGACGGAGCAACGCCGCGUGAGUGAUGAAGGGGUUCGGCGCGUAAAGCACUGUUGUUAGGGAAGAAACAGUACCGAACGAACUAGGUCGGUACCUUGACGGUACCUAAUCAGAAAGCCACGGCUAACUACGUG